rnacentral:sRNA from 1 species
CUCAGGGCUCAUUGCUUUUUCCCUUCCACACCUCUCACUGGACAGCCAUGGCUCUAAGAAGAGGUCAAAGUGAACAGAGAGAAAAAUUGGCCAAUGGGUGACUAUAUACCUCAGUGUUAACCUGUCAGCACCGGUGAACACAGCAGCUUACAUCCGGGACCUCAGCAUGGGACAAAGGAGAACAAGGGUGCGACAGUGAACUCAAAAUGUCCAGAAACAUUGAGAGCAAGGGCUGGCUAAAUGCAUGACUGCUGUGGCCCGGAACAUCUGAAUGGCCUAUCCUAAAUGAGUUACACACACAGCUACUACCCUUUCUUCAUGAGAUUUUACAACAAGCUCUCCAAGGCUGGCUUCUCUAAACAGGAUUUACUUUAACUGAGGCCACGAGAAAACUGGAAACAGGAGAAAGCCUGGAACCAAAGAAGGUCUUGUGACUUACUGUUUACCUGGAAGCCUGAAGUGUGUGUUAUAGUUUCACCGCACUGAGAGGCCAAGCCUGCAUCUUUCAUCAUACAAAGAGCCUGCUGUGUCCUCCUGGGAUCUAUCAGUGAAGCACAGAGAUUCCCACUUAUUUUUUCCCUUUAGUUUUAUUCUGCCUGUUUGUUGACGUUGCCCAGAGCUUGUGUUCUAACUUUAUUACACCUGGUUGGUGAAGCCACCCUUCAUCUCUAGGAGAAAAUGACAGAAAGAUGUGGAAUCCGCCUCUGGAUGAGAACACAAAGUAGCUCUCAGAAGAAAAAGAAGUGGCCACACACAGGUAACAUUUUCAUGAGGUGACUCGGUGAGGUCAUGAGAUAGGCCCUACUCCACCCGUCUGGGAUGAGCUUGAUUGAGGCUGCUCUUUGGGUGCCUUUAAUUACAGGAUAAGGAUGGACUUGCAUCUCUGAAAGCAAACUUUGUCCAGGUCUCAAAGACUCACUUUGCUUUUCCAAAUUACCUCACCUGGGAGAGCCUAUUAACAGUCAUGGGAUGUCUCUGGAAAGAUACAUAGAAGACCUGGUGGUGACAUUGUUUCAUCUGGGGUGAGGGCAUUGGUACCAUGCCAGGGCACCUAAAAGGCUUGUUUCUCCUGGCAUAUGUUUGUAUGCCUUUGAACCAUGUAGAAUGUGAAAGUUCAUAUGGUAUGCACAUAUUACUUUCUUAAAACUAUCCACCUACUAUCUACCCGUAUCCAGCUAAUUAUUAGUAAGAAAAAGCCAUAAAGACAGAAGAGCCAAGGAGACCAUCCAUCUUCCUGGUUGAUAUUCCUGGUUAACUUUAUUUUUAAUUUUUUCUUUUCACAGAUACAGAGACCCUAAGCAAACAUUUUCCUGUUCUUGCUCAGAAUAGGCCAGGCACACUUUUAAUGAAAGUUCUCUGCAAAAGUUAUUAAUAUCUGAUGCUUGGCUACAUCUUGUUACAUUGUCUGUGCACAUAUCUUGCUACAUUAUCUGUGCCCAUUUUAAGCCUGCAUUCACACACCACUUUCUUCACAGGACCUGCCAUGACCCAGCUUUUUAAAUUGCAAACUUACACUUCAGAAUUAGAUGUCUAUUUUAUGCUCAUGAAAUCUCAUCUUUGAAGGUUGUUCUGUGUGUGUGCAGAGCAUCCUUGCUGUCUGGAGCUGAGCCCACAAGAACAAGGACACACUUGUUUGCACGUUUUUUCCUCUUCUUUUCCCCCACACCUCAGCACAGCCUGGAAUAAUUGCUGACAAAAAGCGAGAGAGGGAAUUUUUGUUUCCCUUUUUAAGUUCGCUAUGCUCAAUUAGUAUUUUUAAUAGGCAAGUAUUUUUUUUUAACAAACACAUCUCACUCAUUAGCCUGUCAAUAGUGACUCUUCGUUUUAUCUCAAAAACACAAUACAGAUUUUAAGAAUAAAAUUCAAGAAUCUAUUUUCUACAGAUAACCAAGGAGUAUAUGAAAAGAAUGCUCAAGUUAACUAGUGACUAGAGAAAUGUAAAUAAAAAGCUACAGUGAGAAUAGCUGCUAUUAAAAUCAGAAUUGGUAUUGAUGUGUAGAAAGGGAAGUCUUUGGGUCCUUUCAGUGGAGAUGUAAAUCAUUUAAGUGCUGUAGAAAGUAGUCUGGAGGUCCUGCUACAUGACCUGGCAAUCUGGCUCUUGUGCACAUAUCUAGUGUAGUUUGUAUGUGAAAUGUGCUCUGGUGUUCCUAUGUUGGAACAUUUGGCCCCCAGAUGGUGGCACUGUUUGGGAAAGUUGUGGACUCCUCAGGAGGUAAGGCCUCACUGCAAGAGCUGAGUCAAUGGGAGGCUUGAUCUAUCACCCCCUGUGGUGGUCUGGAUAGGAAUGGCCUCUAGGGAGUAGCACUAUUAGGAAGUAUGGCCUUAUUGGAAGAAGUGUGUCACUGUGGGGUUGGGCUUAGAGGACUCAGAAGCUCAAGUCAGUUCUCCCCUUGCUCCCUGCUGGUCAAGAUGAAGAACUCUCAGCUCCUACUC